GAGGUUAUAGCUCAAGUGGUAGAGUUCAUGCUUUGCACGCAUGAGGUCCUAGGUUCAACCCCAGUACCUCCU
rnacentral:tRNA from 1 species